rnacentral:tRNA from 1 species
ACUUAGGUAGUUUAAUACUAAAAUAUUGAUUUGUGGUAUCAGUGAUAUAAUAUAUUUUAUCUUAGGUU